rnacentral:tRNA from 1 species
UCCGGCUCUGGAAGCGGCUCGGCGACUUCCUCUGGCUCUGGCUCUGGCUCGGGAUCAGGCUCGACCUCGGGUUCAGGCUCCGGGGGCGGGGGC